CAGACUCCUACGGGAGGCAGCAGUGGGGAAUAUUGCACAAUGGACGAAAGUCUGAUGCAGCAACGCCGCGUGGAGGAUGACACAUUUCGGUGCGUAAACUCCUUUUAUAUGGGAAGAUAAUGACGGUACCAUAUGAAUAAGCACCGGCUAACUCCGUGCCAGCAGCCGCGGUAAUACGGAGGGUGCAAGCGUUACUCGGAAUCACUGGGCGUAAAGAGCGUGUAGGCGGAUAUAUAAGUGGCGAAGUGAAAUCCAAUAGCUUAACUAUUGAACUGCUUUUAAACUGUAUAUCUAGAAUGUGGGAGAGGUAGAUGGAAUUUCUGGUGUAGGGGUAAAAUCCGUAGAGAUCAGAAGGAAUACCGAUUGCGAAGGCGAUCUACUGGAACAUUAUUGACGCUGAGACGCGAAAGCGUGGGGAGC
rnacentral:rRNA from 1 species